GUUUUGUACAAUAAGAGAUGAGGUGUAAAGGUGUGACGUGUUGUACAGCGAUGCGACUCAAUUAUUAUUGAGUGAGUGCUCAUAGAAGGUGGAAAGCCUGUGUAGUCGCAUCGUCUUGUUCAAUCGAAACACUGAAGAGUCGAGUUGUUUGAGAGUACAACUUGAAGUUGGUGGUAAAUUUCAUCAAAGGCUAAAUAUAUGAAGGGACUAAUAGCGAACAAGUACCAUGAGGGAAAGUUGAAAAGAACUCUGACGAGAGAGUUCAACAGUACGUGAAACCAUAUUGAGUAAAACAGAUAACUGUGUUUUAUGUCGUGCACCUAUCAACAAUUCGUCAGUGUUUUGAGGGUAUGGGAGAAGUUUGUCUAUUCAAAUGAAAUCCCGUGCAUAGAAGUAUCUGAUGAUUUGUGCAAUAGUGUGCACCGGUACAUUGAGAAACUAUGCUGCUGCGAAGUCGGCGCCUUUCAUUUGUACUUUGUACGAAGUAGGGCUGUCCGCGGAUGCGAGCUGGCGUAGUUUAGCUAUGUGAAUGCUGUGAAUCGCGUUUACUGAUGUGAGUUGCUGUGUCUGCGAAUUGACUCAUUUCUCUUUGCGGUGAGCAAGUUACUGAAUGUAAGCGAUUCACCAUCGAUGAAUAACAUUAGUUAUCUGACCCGUCUUGAAACACGGACCAAGGAGUUCAAAUGGCACGCGAGUCAUUGGGUUUAGGUACCCGAAGGCGAAGUGAAAUGCAAACUUAUUGCGACUCGUGGUUGUUCCGCGACGAAGCAAUAAGCUACUCAUGCUUUCUGGCAUUUGUAGACUAAAAGCGU
rnacentral:rRNA from 1 species